rnacentral:tRNA from 1 species
GAGGGUAUAGCUCAGUGGUAGAGUGUGUGCUUAGCAUGCACAAGGUCCUGGGUUCAAUCCCAGUAUCUCCA